rnacentral:rRNA from 1 species
UCGAGGAUAUUUAGCAAUGGGGGAAACCCUGACUAUGUGACGCCGCGUGAGGGAUGAAGGUUCUCGGAUCGUAAACCUCUUUCGAUGGGAAAGAACUCUCUAGUUAACUGCUAGAGCUGACGGUACCCAGAGAAGAAGCCACGGCCAACUCCGUGCCAGCAGCCGCGGUAAUACGGGGGUGGCGAGCGUUACUCGGAUUUAUUGGGUGUAAAGGGCAGGUAGGUGGCUAUGCAAGUUGGAGGUGAAAUCCUUUGGCUCAACCAAAGAACUGCCUUCAAAACUGCAUAACUUGAGGACAGAAGAGGAAAGCGGAAUUCCCGGUGUAAGAGUGAAAUCUGUAGAUAUCGGGAGGAACACCCGUGGCGAAGGCGGCUUUCUGGUCUGUCCCUGACACUGAGCUGCGAAAGCUAGGGGAGCAAACAGG